GUGGGGAAUUUUGGACAAUGGGCGCAAGCCUGAUCCAGCCAUUCCGCGUGCAGGAUGAAGGCCUUCGGGUUGUAAACUGCUUUUGUACGGAACGAAAAGCCUCUGGUUAAUACCCGGGGGUCAUGACGGUACCGUAAGAAUAAGCACCGGCUAACUACGUGCCAGCAGCCGCGGUAAUACGUAGGGUGCGAGCGUUAAUCGGAAUUACUGGGCGUAAAGCGUGCGCAGGCGGUGAUGUAAGACAGUUGUGAAAUCCCCGGGCUCAACCUGGGAACUGCAUCUGUGACUGCAUUGCUGGAGUGCGGCAGAGGGGGAUGGAAUUCCGCGUGUAGCAGUGAAAUGCGUAGAUAUAGGAAGGAACACCAGUGGCGAAGGCGACUACCUGGACUGAUACUGACACUGAGGUGCGAAAGCGUGGGGAGCAAACAGGAUUAGAAACCCCGGUAGUCC
rnacentral:rRNA from 1 species